rnacentral:rRNA from 1 species
UACAGAGGUCCCAAGCGUUGUUCGGAUUCACUGGGCGUAAAGGGUGCGUAGGCGGUCGGGUAAGUCUGAUGUGAAAUCUCACAGCUUAACUGUGAAACUGCAUUGGAUACUAUCCGGCUUGAGAGUUGGAGGGGGGACUGGAAUUCUUGGUGUAGCAGUGAAAUGCGUAGAUAUCAAGAGGAACACCAGUGGCGAAGGCGAGUCCCUGGACAACUUCUGACGCUGAGGCACGAAAGCUAGGGGAGCAACAGG